UGGGGAAUAUUGCACAAUGGGCGCAAGCCUGAUGCAGCAACGCCGCGUGAGGGAUGACGGCCUUCGGGUUGUAAACCUCUUUUAGCAGGGAAGAAGCGAAAAGUGACGGUACCUGCAGAAAAAGCACCGGCUAACUACGUGCCAGCAGCCGCGGUAAUACGUAGGGUGCAAGCGUUGUCCGGAAUUAUUGGGCGUAAAGAGCUCGUAGGCGGUCUGUCGCGUCUGCUGUGAAAUCCCGAGGCUCAACCUCGGGCCUGCAGUGGGUACGGGCAGACUAGAGUGCGGUAGGGGAGAAUGGAACUCCUGGUGUAGCGGUGGAAUGCGCAGAUAUCAGGAAGAACACCGAUGGCGAAGGCAGUUCUCUGGGCCGUAACUGACGCUGAGGAGCGAAAGCGUGGGGAGCGAACAGGAUUAGAUACCCUGGUAGUCCACGCCGUAAACGUUGGGCGCUAGAUGUGGGGACCAUUCCACGGUUUCCGUGUCGCAGCUAACGCAUUAAGCGCCCCGCCUGGGGAGUACGGCCGCAAGGCUAAAACU
rnacentral:rRNA from 1 species